rnacentral:rRNA from 1 species
AGUGAACGCUGGCGGUAGGCCUAACACAUGCAAGUCGAACGGCAGCACAGUAAGAGCUUGCUCUUACGGGUGGCGAGUGGCGGACGGGUGAGGAAUACAUCGGAAUCUACUUUUUCGUGGGGGAUAACGUAGGGAAACUUACGCUAAUACCGCAUACGACCUACGGGUGAAAGCAGGGGAUCUUCGGACCUUGCGCGAUUGAAUGAGCCGAUGUCGGAUUAGCUAGUUGGCGGGGUAAAGGCCCACCAAGGCGACGAUCCGUAGCUGGUCUGAGAGGAUGAUCAGCCACACUGGAACUGAGACACGGCCCAGACUCCUACGGGAGGCAGCAGUGGGGAAUAUUGGACAAUGGGCGCAAGCCUGAUCCAGCCAUACCGCGUGGGUGAAGGAGGCCUUCGGGUUGUAAAGCCCUUUUGUUGGGAAAGAAAAGCAGCAGGUUAAUACCCCGCUGUUCUGACGGUACCCAAAGAAUAAGCACCGGCUAACUUCGU